CCCCAGGCCAAAAGCAGCCGUUUAACAACUGAGCCACCCAGGCGCCCCUACUGUGACCAUUUUAAUGACGUGUCUGUCUUCAGUAUCUGCUCACAGCUUUGGUCACCGUUCAUCACUGUUCAUCAGAGAGCUUUCAUGAACUCACGUCUUCAGGUUAAUUCUGCCUUAGAAAGGGAGUUGGGUUUCAACGUACUGCCUUGAGUGCUUUAGGGAUGGGGGUAAGCCUGUGCCUCCUCUUGCUGUACGAUGCUGUGGGAAGCCGGGAAAGGCCUGCUUUGCAUGGCCCUGUGGCACACUCUCUGCUUUCCCUCUCUUGUAACCCAAGGCCAGCAUCUCAAAUGGAUCAUUUAACCCCACUCCCCACUUUCCUUCACAUCUGUUUGGUUUCAGGCUUAAAAAAAUAAAAAAGGAUUCAUUCAAAUUGACUUAUUCAAACUGACAAAAUGCAGUUUUAUAUAACUAACCUUAAAAAACGCCAUAGGGAUGGUCUUCAUCAUUGUGCGGGAUAAAAAAGGAGAAGCAAAGUGAUUCAAAUGACUGUUUAUGUAGUUCAGGAGGGCCAGUGGGGCAGGCUGCAGAGAUGGCAUUCUGUUCCCUUCCCAUUUCUUUCCUCUGGUCCUGUGCAUUAGCUCUUGCCUUCUGGGCAAGCAGGCUAAUUUUUUUCUGUUGGGAGAGACUGCUUGUCUUUCCUUUGGCCCACACUUUCCUUUUUGUUUUGUUUUCCUUUAAUAACUGAGUAACUUUAGAUUUUAGCCUGAUUUUAGCUUUGAGUCCGGAUAGUUAGUCUGGGACCCUCAGGCCUUUGUACACCAAGAGGGGGAAAGGCCAAAGCUAAGAUAUGUGUGGCUAUCAGGUAGGUCUGCUGAUGCCUUUCUGGAUUAGACAGACAUAAGCCAGUUUACUUCCAAAAGCUUGUGUUUACCCAAGCACGUACCUUCUUUACCUUAAUGUCAUGUUUAUGUGGAAUACAGUGGUUGGAUGCUAUGUGAGUGGGUCUUAAUUCACAGAAAGAACUCAAGACACCAACAGCCAUCCUGACUUUGCUUUUUUUAAGAUGCCCCAACUCUGUUUUACCCUCUCCAGAUAAGCUCUUAACUCAGUAGAGUGUUGGUGUGGCCAAGCAGCAAGAAUAUAGCACAUAUGGGCAGAGUGCGUGGUUUUCAACCCUCACUAUGCAUGGCAUUCCCCUGGGUGAUCAAAAAUAUAUAUACAGUUGUCCCAGCUAUGCCCUGGAGAUUCUGAUUUAAUGGGCCUAGGCAUAAGUGCUUUUAUAAGCUCUUCAGGUGAGCUCUUUGGUGGUCUGCUGAAGCCAGAGCUAUAUGAUUGUGCCUUAUGUAAUUAACUCUUCUAUCAUUAAUACUAGCAAAUGCUCUAGACUUCAGUCUUUUCAACUGUAAGACAGAAGUAUUGUUUAGAUGAUUCCAAAUAGUACUUGGUAUAGCCAAAUCAAAGCCGACUCCCUCAAAAGGCUGGUUAUGUAGCAUGGUUUCCCAAAAAAAAAAAAAA